AUUGAACGCUGGCGGCAUGCUUUACACAUGCAAGUCGAACGGCAGCGCGGGGGCAACCCUGGCGGCGAGUGGCGAACGGGUGAGUAAUGCAUCGGAACGUAUCCUGUAAUGGGGGGAUAACGUAGCGAAAGUUACGCUAAUACCGCAUACGCUCGAGAGAGGAAAGUGGGGGAUCGCAAGACCUCACGUUAUAGGAGCGGCCGAUGUCCGAUUAGCUAGUUGGUGGGUAAAGGCCUACCAAGGCGACGAUCGGUAGCUGGUCUGAGAGGAUGAUCAGCCACACUGGGACUGAGACACGGCCCAGACUCCUACGGGAGGCAGCAGUGGGGAAUUUUGGACAAUGGGCGAAAGCCUGAUCCAGCCAUGCCGCGUGCGGGAAGAAGGCC
rnacentral:rRNA from 1 species